GUCCUUCACUGAGGAGACACGCUGUUCCUACUGAGGGAGAUAAUCCAGCAUUGUAUAUUUUUGUGCACAGAGGAAAGCAAGAUACUCAUCAGAGACUCAGCUAUUCCUCCAUUCCGAAGCAUCCCAGAGGAAUUUCUGAAGGCAGGAGGGAAUCCUGAGAGACAGAUGAGCAGAACAGAAGAAGACUUCUGUGGACAGAUUCAGGAAGGGCAAAGACUGUCUCUUACAUAUAAAACUACAUCUCCCACCUCCAACAUGUGAUUUGGCGUCUAGGAAGUAUCUAUAUGUGCUUGAAGAAAGAAGGAAGAGAGAAGGAAAGAAAAGAAGGAGGGUAGAAAAGAAGAAAGAAGACUCUCAUUGUCUGAAGGAAAAAAAAACAACAUGCCAGGCUUACUGACAGAAGCUUUUACAGGAAACAAAACCCACGACAACUUCUCUCGUCAAGGGCUCUUCAGACUGUUUCUAAACACUCACAGGAAGGCCAGGCUGACAUUUUACACAUGAUUGACUGAGAGCGCUAUGCUUGCUUCUGGAUAUGUGCGUGCUUGUAUACGUGUGCAACUGUGUGUGUGCACGCAUAUGCCUGCAUGCAAGCCUACGGGUGCUUACCUGGUCCUGUAGCUCAGCCUAAACAAAGAUUCAGACUUGCUUAUGCAUAAAUAAUGAGUUGGCGGGGCCAGAAGCUGCCUAGGGUCUAUUUAUAUAGAUUGAUUUGCAUGUGCCAAGGGGAAUUGGGAAGAUACAGUGGAGAAGACAGCCUGGUGAUUGGUUCAGGGGCCAGGAUAGCAGCUGAACCCAUGCAAUCCUCCCUGAGACUUUAGUGAGUCUGCAAGGAAUGAGCCCUCUCUGUUUGCAAGACCUCCAAGGCCAGCAGGAUAAAAGCUUGGCAACCGUGAAGUGAGAGUCAUCCUUAGAAUGAAGCCAGCACAGAGGAGAGCAGAAGAAGGAUGGAGAGAGAGACUAGUCCUAAUGUCCUUGUGUGGUGGCUUGGCUAGCACCUGCUGUGCCUAUCUUCCCACUGGGAGCCUUAGUCUCAUGCCCAGUUGAUCCCUCCCCUGGUGUCAACUAAGCUUGAGUUGGAUUAUCUGCUACUUGCUGAUGCUCCACUCACAGUCUCCCUGCAUUAUCCCAGCACCUGAGACAUUUCUGAUUAGAUUGGCAUCCAUGGGGGUGUGAAAGUCACAUUCUCAGAGAAAGAAAGUGAUGAACCACCUGUACUGCAGAACCCACCAGUAACAACCCCACCCUACACCCUAGUCCAGGUUCCUCAGCUGUCUGUCAAAUCCAGGAGCCAGGACACCAGGUGGAGUCCUGCAACCUUUUGCAAUCUCUGUGUCAGAGGUAUUAGAACAAGAAUGACUCCAUCUUGAAAACAGGCUGGGUAGAAUGAGGCUUAGACUUACUGGGCUGCAUUCCCAAGAGGUUAAGGCAUUCCUAGUCACAGAAUGAGAUAGACGGUUGGCACAAGAUACAGAUCAUAAAGACCUUACUGAUAAAACAGGUUGCAGUUAAGAAGCCGGCCAAAACCCAUCAAAACCAAGAUGGUGACAAGAGUGACCUCUGGUCAUCCUCACAGCUCAUUAUAAGCUAGUUACAAUAUAUUAGCAUGCUAAAAGACACUCCCACCAGUGCUGUGACAGUUUACAGAUGCCAUGGCAACAUCAGGAAAUUACCCUAUAUGGUCUAAAAAGGCUAAGAACCCUCAGUUCUGGGAGUUGUCCACUCCUUACUGUGAAAACUCAUGAAGAAUCAACCUCUUGUUUAGCAUAUAAUCAAGAAAUAACCAUAAAAAUGGGCAACCAGAAGCUCUUGAGAAUGCUCUGCCUAGGGAGUAGCCAUUCUUUUAUUCCUUUAC
ensembl:lncRNA novel transcript